rnacentral:tRNA from 1 species
UAAAAGAUAAGCUAAUAAAAGCUAAUGGGCUCAUACCCCGUAAAUGAGAAAUACACUCUCUUUUUA